rnacentral:rRNA from 1 species
UACGUAGGGGGCUAGCGUUGUCCGGAAUCAUUGGGCGUAAAGAGCGCGUAGGCGGCCAGGUAGGUCGGUUGUGAAAACUGGAGGCUCAACCUUCAGAGGUCGACCGAAACCAUCUGGCUAGAGUCCGGGAGAGGAGAGUGGAAUUCCUGGUGUAGCGGUGGAAUGCGCAGAUAUCAGGAGGAACACCGGUGGCGAAGGCGGGUCUCUGGGCAGUAACUGACGUGGAGGAGCGAAAGCGUGGGGAGCGAACAGG